ensembl:lncRNA
AUACACUCCUGGCACCCUUUCAUCUGUAAGUUAGUGGUUUCUGCCUUUGCGGUAACAAAAGGAGUCUGAAAGCUUAACCACAGGACCUGAAGAAUGCGAUGACUGGUAGAGAUGAGUCAGGUUGUCUGUGCCUCACCUUGAUGAAUGCUGAAAGGAGUACCCAACAUCCUAUGAUAGUGAUGACAGCAUUUCCCACCAUGUUGCUCAAGGCUCAAGCCUCGGUAAUUACUUGGUCUGAAUCCAAGAGAUAACAAGUAGUAGUUUAAAUGAUUGCUUCACAGCCUUCAAAAGGUAUGCCUAUUAAUGAAAGUGUACAUAUCAAAUUGUUAGAUUGGGAAGCUCAGACUUUCAAAAAGAUACUCACUCCCACCCUACCACGUCAACAUUUAAGGUUCUGUCCCUGUAGGAACCAGACUCUUUUGGUUGUAAGUUACCGUGUGUGUGUGUGUGUGUGUGUGUGUGUGUGUGUGUGUGUGUGUGUGUGCUGUCACCUUAGUCGUGUCCGACUCUUCGUGACUGCAUGAACUGUAGCCCUCCCAGUUCCUCUGUCCAUGGGAUUCUCCAGCCAAGAAUACUGGAGUGGGUUGCCACGCCCUCCUCCAGGGGAUCUUCCUGACCCAGGGAUUGAACCCACUUAAGUCUCUUGCAUUGGCAGGUGGGUUCUUUACCACUGAGCCACCAGGAAAGUCCCCACAGAAGUCCUAAGUAACCAUAAUCAGACUUAAAAUCACCUCCCAGAAUCCACGGAAGAAUUGAACAACCAAAUUUUGGAGAAGUAGCUGGUUCUCACAAGCCCCCUGUGCCCAUGGAUUUGAAUGCCAUCAGCAUGUAACGUUUCUCAUCUUUGAUGAGAGACAGAGAGAUGAAUAUAAGCCAUAAAUAGUCCAUGAAUUUUCCAUAUUAAAUUUUCCACUGACACUAAAGACUGACCUACUUUCUCAGUUUCAGUCCAAAAAAAUCCCCAAGGAGGACUUUACUUGGCCCAACUUGAAUGAGUAUCAACAUCUGGUCCAAUCAACUAGGGCCCUGGGGUGAAGUCAGCCACUCACUGCAGCCAAGAACCUGCAAAGAGCGAACUGGUCUGUAUUAAACUUUCUAAGCCAAGGCUACCACCAUAGUUCUUCAUUGACAGCUGUUAAAUGAUAGUUCAAUUUUAAAGUAUUCAAGACAUGUCUAUAAGGCUGGGAGAGCACAUGAUUUAUUAUCAAGAAGAGAACAUUUUGAGAGUUAAAGUGAUUGCUAUUGAUUUAGUCCAAGAGACUGUAUAUGAUAUGGGACUGUCAGCAAACUGGAUGAUACAGUCAACUUCACCAGCAGAAAAGAUAGUCUAAGACUGAAGCCCUGUGUCCCCUUCUGCUGCUCUUUUACCAGAACUAAAGGUAAUCCUAGUCGUCUCUCUUUUUGGUUGAGUCAUCACUCUUUACAUCAUCACUGACAUGCUGUGGGAGAACAUCAGGAAAAGAUUAACACGUGAAGUAUUAUUUUAUUUGAUUCUCAGAAGAACCAUAUGAAUUAUCUUUUAUUCCCAUUUUUGGGAGAGGAACAAAGACUAUGAGAAACUGAUGCUCCCAAGUCCACUCAGUGUUUAUCUCUGAAGACACUUCAGGCUAUAAAGCCACCUUCAGUGGAAUGGAAGACUCAAUGGAUCUUCUCCUCUUUUCUCUCCAUGAAGCCUGAAGAGGAGAUAGAAGAGUCUGAAAGGAUGGGGAGAAAGGAAGAAAGAGAGGGAGGAGACGAGGGCAGGAGAGAACUUCUUAAUGUCCAUCUGAAAUAGGUUCCUAAAGGCUGAGGACUUAAUCAACAGGCAACAAAAAGAAAUGCUUGCCUCCAUUCUGGACCCCAAAGAGUACAUCAAGAGAAAUGCUGGGCUGGAAGAAGCACAAGCUGGAAUCAAGAUUGCCGGGAGAAAUAUCAAUAACCUCAGAUAUGCAGAUGACACCACCUUUAUGGCAGAAAGUG